rnacentral:miRNA from 1 species
AAGGCUACCAACCAUGCUGGUUUGCCUGGGACUGAGGGUCUUCUCCCGACACUGGACUUUCAGGGCUAAAAUUGAG